rnacentral:lncRNA from 1 species
GUGGAGCUUAGACAGUAAUGCUCACUCACCAGCUGCUCACCUCCUGCUGUGAGGCCCAGUUCCUAACAGGCCAGACUGGUAAGGGUCCUCGGCCCAGGGGGCUGGGGACCCCUGCUCUAGGGGAAAAAUACCAGAUUAGGUUCCUCUUAGCCUCUGGUCACAUUUUUAUCAAUCGGUCAAUACAUAACCUCGUUUUAUAUGUGUUUCUGUUUAAAGACACCUUAUUUAAUAUUUGUUGAUUCAGUAAGACUGAACUCAUGGCUAACAGCACUUCAACUCUGCCUGAACAAAGCUUAUCUAAUACAUGUAUUUUCUCAGUAAGGCACAUUACAGCCUUCUUGUGUUUAGAAACACUAGACAGAACUUCAGCACUAUGCUUGGGGAUCUUUUUAAACAGUGAAAUCACCAACAAAAAGCACAAAAAUGCAAAAAACAUGGUACCCGAUAUAUGACAAAGAAGACACUUGUUUACAGGAUGAGAGGUGAAAUAAGUACACAAAACACUGCCUUGUGCCACCUCAGCUGGGAAUGUGCACGUCAGGAGACUCAGAUGUUUUCACUGCCCUGUCCAUGUGAAUGUCUGAGAUUAACAGCCAAAGCAUGCUGUUUGGUCUGUUCAGGCUGGUAAAACAAAAUACCUCAGACUGUUAUUUAUAAACAUGAAAUUUACAGUCCACAGUGCUGGAGGCUGGAAAGUCCAGGAUCAAGGCACCAGCAGAUUUGGUGCCUGGUGAGGGCCCUGUUUCUAACAGAUGGUGGAGGGGACAACGGAAGCCCUCAAGCUGCUUUUGUAAGGGCAAAAAUCCCCUUCACGAGGGCUCUGCCCUCACAGCCCACCUAAUCACCUCCCAAAGGCCCCACCUCCUAAUACCAACACAUCAGGGAUAAGAUUUCAACAUACACGUUUUGGAGGGACACAAACAUUCAGUCCAUACAUGAACAGCCACCUCUGUGCCACAAUGCUACUGGGACGCAGAGGUGAAGAGGUGCCACCACCGUCAAGAGGCCUUGGAGAAAGACCAUGGCACAUUAAAGAAAUAAUCGGAGGCAGCACUGGAAAAAGGAGCAUCUGGAUGCAGUAAAGACCCAUCCCUUCCCGCACUGGAGCUGUUGGCUCAUCCCUGGAAAUCACAACAAUCAAGAAUGGAGAAUCGUUCUUUUCAUCCCUUCUCACAGCAUUAUCCCAGCAACCUCAUCCCCUAACAAUGGUGUGGUCUGUGUUAUGUUUUCCCUCCAUCACUGCCCCUCCCUGCUGCUGCACAACAGAGGUGCUGUGCCCCAGAGGCCGCUGAGGUUGCAGGCCUCUCAGCCUCUGAAACAAGGCUGUGAGCGUUUGGAUGCACCCUCAGAAGGAGCUGCAUAAAUAAUCAGAUGAAAAACACCAAACCUUAACUAAAAAUGAAUUUUUUUUCCUCCAUUUUUUCCUCCAUUAAACCAGCUAAAAGAUUUUCAUGACAAUUCCCUGUAGUGUGAUAAAACAGACACCCUUGCAUGUUGCUCUGAACUAUUUGUUAGUAUUAUGUGUUUGGAAAAUAAUCUGGCAGUAUUUCAAAUGCCUUAAAAAUGUUCAUCCCUUUGUGCCCAAUAAUUCUCAUUUCUGGCAUCUGACUUUAAGGUAAUAAUUCAAAGGAAAGAAAAAGAUGUAUGUAUGAAGAUAUAUAUUGCAGUACUAGUUGGGGAAAAAAGUGGUAGAGUUUCUGUUCUUUACAGUUUUCUCCCAUGUUUUCCUCUCUAACUUACCCUUAGGCUUGGUAACAUUCAUCUCUAUGGCUCUUGAUAGAACCAGACAUAAUGACAGAAACUGGAAUUUCUCACCCAUGUUCACAACCUAAACAAGAUCUGCUAUAAAAAUAAUUUACUAUAUGACUAAUCAUACUUAGCAGAGAGCCACAUUUGAGGCCUUUUCAUUUUUAUGAGAUAUAAAAUUAUUAAAGUGCACUUAA